UACUCGAGUGGCGAACGGGUGAGUAACACGUGGGUGAUCUGCCCUGCACUUCGUGAUAAGCUUGGGAAACUGGGUCUAAUACCGGAUAGGAACCAUCUUUAGUGUGGUGGUUGGAAAGUUUUUUCGGUGUAGGAUGAGCUCGCGGCCUAUCAGCUUGUUGGUGGGGUAAUGGCCUACCAAGGCGGCGACGGGUAGCCGGCCUGAGAGGGUGUACGGCCACAUUGGGACUGAGAUACGGCCCAG
rnacentral:rRNA from 1 species